AGGAAAGAAACCAACCGGGAUUACCUCAGUAACGGCGAGUGAAGCGGUAACAGCUCAAAUUUGAAAUCUGGCUCCUCUGGAGUCCGAGUUGUAAUUUGUAGAAGAUGCUUUGGGUUGUGGGUUCGGCCUAAGUUCCUUGGAACAGGACGUCAUAAGGGUGAGAAUCCCGUAUGUGGCCGAGGCCCGCGCCUAUGUAAAGCUCUUUCAACGAGUCGAGUUGUUUGGGAAUGCAGCUCAAAAUGGGUGGUAAAUUUCAUCUAAAGCUAAAUAUGGGCCAAGACCGAUAGCGCACAAGUAGAGUGAUCGAAAGAUGAAAAGCACUUUGGAAAGAGAGUUAAACAGUACGUGAAAUUGUUGAAAGGGAAGCGCUUGCACCCAGACUUGGGCGCUGCUGAUCACCUUGAGGUCCCCUCGAGUGCACUCGACAGCGCACAGGCCAGCAUCGGUUCGGGUGGCUGGAUAAAGGCCGUAGGAACGUAGCUCCUUUCGGGGAGUGUUAUAGCCUACGGUGCCAUGCAGCCCAGCCGGACCGAGGACCGCGCCUUCGGGCUAGGAUGCUGGCGUAAUGGGUGUAAGCGACCCGUCUUGAAACACGGACCAAGGAGUCUAACAUCUAUGCGAGUGUUUGGGUGGUAAACCCAUACGCGGAAUGAAAGUGAACGUAGGUGAGAACCCCUUUUGGGGGCGCAUCAUCGACCGAUCCUGAUGUCUUCGGAUGGAUUUGAGUAAGAGCAUAGCUGUUGGGACCCGAAAGAUGGUGAACUAUGCCUGAAUAGGGUGAAGCCAGAGGAAACUCUGGUGGAGGCUCGCAGC
rnacentral:rRNA from 1 species